GUACUCUAAAAGAUCUUUUGAAUUUUUAGGUAUCCACAUCUGAUUCACGCCACCUCUAGAAUAGGCAGUUUCACAAUAACUUUGAAGCUCGUAUUUGAUUGCUGAUAAAAUAGAUGUUAAUAAUUUAGAAAGAGGUUUCAUGGAGCACUUGGAAGACCCAGCAAUAUACCGUUGUUUGUAAGGAUACUUAUGUAGUUUAGGUAUCCAAUACAGUGAUGGAAGAUCCAGUUCUUCAUCUUUAGUUGAAAUUCCUAAAGGAACAUAGAUCAGACCUAUGAUUAUUCAGGAUUUCCUCUUUAGUAAGUGUUGUGAGGGUAUAAUUUGAGUUUCAAAGUGAAUUGUCAAUACCUAAUUCGUUAGAUAAGUUAAGUUAUCCCUAAUGAAAUUUUGCAAUUGUGAUAAUGAUUAUUAUUGUAUUUAUCUAUUUAAAAAAAGCUUCGUUGAUAAUUCAAUUAAUAACAAAGUUUUGCUAUCGGUCUAUUUGAUAUUCAAAAUAAUUUCGGUUGUAUAUAUGCAAUUGUGUUUUUUUUUUAUUUAUGAUUCUUUACUUGAUUUAUGCUAGUUUCUUUCAAGGUAGAAAGGAGUAAAAGGACAACAAAAUAAUAUUCAUAUUUACAGAACCAGAUUGACUCCUAUAUUGGAGGUGUGGCUAAAAUAGUCGUACAAGAACAGAAGUGAAAUAGUAACAUCAAAUACUUAUAAGGCUAGUAUAUAUUAAAAAUUGAGAGACGAGAUAUAACACUUAUUGAAGGAGACACUUAGUACGCUACCCACGGUUUCAAGACCAGAACAAGAGACACAAUGAAGUGAAACGAAGUCUGUCAAAAAAAUGCAUCAAAUAAGCCAUUUCAAUGGCAUUCAUAAAUAUGCUCCUUCCAAAAAUGCUUCCAUGAUGUACGAGAGUUAUACCCGUAACGGGUACAAACAAUUUGAAUUGAUCUUCCAACUAUCCAUGCUAAUUUCUAAUAACUACACACACCACUUCUAUUACAAAACAUUAUCGAUCAUGGAAAGAUGAACGUUUCAUGAAACAAUACCUCAGAAAUGCGAUUCAUUGAUAAAGUACGAACAUAACUUCAUACAGAUAUUAUCAUAGUUCUGAACAUCACGAGAAUUGAAAUUAACAACACAUAUGAAUAACGUUAGACUAUUACAAAACAACGAAUAGAUGCUAGUGCAGGAAGACAGGACAUAUUUUAAUUAUACAGCAUCAGAACAUUAAAUAUGAAAUGAAACCUUAACUGUGUGUAAAAAAAAGCGUUUCAAUUUUAUACCAUAUCUUUUUGAUCAGUUUAGUUUGAUUUUGUUGUAGUUUUUAGUUGUAUUUUCUUUUCUUUUUUUUUAUUCUAUAAAUUUUCUUUUUAUCAUUUCGUAUAUGUUUCAAUAGCGAACUUUCUCUUGAAAACAUUUUUUUAUUUCGAUCGUUCAUGCCUGUGUGUGUAUAUGUAAAUAAUGCUUUCAUGUUAAUAAUGGGACAUAUAUAUAUAAACGUAGUGAUAGUUGAAUGUUUAUUUAAAAGUAUGUAGUUAUCAUAAUGUCUUUCAAGGAAUUUAUGCGAAAGUGUUGAUUUUUUUUUAUUAACAAAAUGAAGAUGUGGGAUAUGAUUGCUGACGAGACAAAAUAUUUACCAGGAUUCAAACAGAGUUCAAAUAACGUGAAUGUAUGCAUUAUAGGUCCCCGUCUGAUAAAGACCAAAAACACACGGUGAAUUCAUGUUUAAAAGUCUAUCAUAAAUUGUGAUUUUGAUGGAGAGUUGUCUCAUUAGCACUCAUAGCAUUUCUUCCUUUGUCUUUUUACUGACAUGAAAAAUGCAAAACAAUUCAAACGUAAAAACUAACGACUUUUAUGCGACAAUUCAGUUUACGAAAAACAAAUAUGAUAGCCAAUAAUCGUCGACAACCACUGAAAUACAGGGUCCUGGAUAGGGAAAGGUGUACAAUUAAUGUAGUUUUUCGACGUAGUCGGUAUAGUUUCGGUUUGUGCACUUUGAACUUAAGGACGCUUCACUAUGGCAACAGACUACGCAUGCUCGAAAAUCCUUUCUGUGAUUGGACAAAAUGCUGUCAUGCUGGGUGAUUUGGUUGUGUCUGAAAAAACUUCUCGAAAAUUAUAUCGUGAUGGAAAGCAAGUAAGAAACUAUAAAUAUUUGAACUAGAUCUUACAAAGAUUUAUAUUUUUAUUAAAAUAAUUUUUUCUCCAAUAGCUCUUUGCAUCCAUGACAGCUGUUUAUUCGGGACAAUCAUAUAAUUAUAUAUUUUUUAAUGUAAACUUUGUUGCACGAACGAACAUGACUUUUAGAACGCACCUACGCAUGCGAGAUUUCCGCGGGGUUUUGGUGAAUGUAAACAGAAAGAUACUACUUAUACUACCAAUAGUUUCUAGCUUUGUUAACCAUGAAUUAAGUUUAAUGUAAACAGUAGUAAAUGUGUAUUUGUUUCUUUUUGUUUGCACUAGAUUUUUUGACAAAUAAAAUUUUUAGGUGUCAUCACAAUAUUCUUAUAUAUUAUUGCCUCAAUAUAACCAGACUUAGUCAAGAAUUUCUUGUAGUAACAUUCAGAUGGAGAUUUUAUUAAAGAGGUCCUGCAUCAUUAAGUCAUUGUGCUUCUGAAGGUUAUCGAAAUGAUAGUUUUAAACAUAUACUCAAAUUUAAAUACGUCGGAUAUCUUUUUUAAAGAUAGUUCUUGUUAAGACUAUUAAG